rnacentral:tRNA from 1 species
GGGCCCGUAGCUUAGUUGGUAGAGCGCCCGCUUUGCAAGCGGGAGGUCGGGAGUUCGAAUCUCCCCGGGUCCA